rnacentral:rRNA from 1 species
GUACGCUGGCGGCACGCCUAACACAUGCAGUCGAACGAAGUAGCAAUACUUAGUGGCAGACGGGUGAGUAACAUGUAGGUAUCUGCCCUUUGGCCUGGAAUAACACGAGGAAACUUGUGCUAAUACCGGAUAAGUCUUUACGGAGAAAGCUUUAUGCACCAUUGGAUGAGCCUGCACUUGAUUAGUUUGUUGGUGGGGUAAUGGCCUACCAAGACUGUGAUCAAUAGCUGAUUUGAGAGGAUGAUCAGCCACAUUGGGACUGAGACACGGCCCAAACUCCUACGGGAGGCAGCAGUGGGGAAUCUUGCACAAUGGAGGAAACUCUGAUGCAGCGAUGCCGCGUGAGUGAAGAAGGCCCUUGGGUUGUAAAGCUCUUUCGUCGGGGAAGAAAAUGACUGUACCCGAAUAAGAAGGUCCGGC